UCGCAUCUGUGCAUGCAGCAUAUCAAUAAGCGGAGGAAAAGAAACUAACAAGGAUUCCCUCAGUAACGGCGAGUGAAGCGGGAAGAGCUCAAAUUUGAAAUCUUGAAAGGUCACCUUUCACGAAUUGUAGUUUAAAGAAGUGUUUUCUGUUACGAUCGUAAUAUAAGUUCUUUGGAAUAGGACAUCACAGAGGGUGAGAAUCCCGUCUAUGAUUGCGAUUUGUAGCUUUGUGAUACACUUUCAAAGAGUCGGGUUGUUUGGGAAUGCAGCCCAAAACGGGAGGUAAAUUUCUUCUAAGGCUAAAUAUUGGCGAGAGACCGAUAGCGAACAAGUACCGUGAGGGAAAGAUGAAAAGAACUUUGAAAAGAGAGUUAAACAGUACGUGAAAUUGUCAAAAGGGAAGCGUUUAACACCAGUGUUGUUUUCCGAAAAUCAACCUCUGUUAGCUUUAUGCAUGUUUGUUUAGACCUAAUCAGCUAUCUUGCAUGUUCUAUUGUUUGCAGUGGUGCACUUUUCAGUUUACAGGUCAACAUCAGUUUUUUUACCGUAAAAAAGUUAAAGAAAGGUAGCUCAUGGCUCCGGUCGUGAGUGUUAUAGUCUUUUUCCUAUGCGGUAGGAGAGACUGAGGUCUGCAGUGUAGGCUAUUUGGCUAGAUACUCAGGUGCUAUGUGAUACCAUUUCAUAAACAACUUGUUGAUUAUGUUUUGUCUAUUGCAUACUCGCUUGUACUAUCAUACCUACGCUUAGGAUGUUGACGAUCAGCUGAGCGCG
rnacentral:rRNA from 1 species